GACAGAGGGUGCAAACGUUGUUCGGAAUUACUGGGCGUAAAGCGCGUGUAGGUGGCAAGGCAAGUCGGGUGUGAAAGCCCUGGGCCUCAACCCAGGAAAGUGCACUCGAUACUGCCUCGCUAGAGUCCCGGAGAGGUUGGUGGAACUCUCGGUGUAGAGGUGAAAUUCGUAGAUAUCGAGAAGAACACCGGUGGCGAAGGCGGCCAACUGGACGGUGACUGACACUGAGACGCGAAAAGCGUGGGGAGCAAACAGGG
rnacentral:rRNA from 1 species